rnacentral:tRNA from 1 species
GGCGCAAUCGUCCAGGGGUCAGGACAUCGGAUUUUCAGUCCGACAACGCGGGUUCGAUUCCCGCUUGCGCUUCCA